rnacentral:misc_RNA from 1 species
GUGAAUCAUCAAAUUUUUGAACGCAAAUUGCACUUCUUGGUAUUCCGAGGAGUACACAUGCUUGAGGGUCAGUUAAAAAAAUCGUGCAUCACUGAUGUUGCGGAUCUGGUAUUCCGAUUUUAUAAAUUGGUUAUCUAAAAUUAAUAUGGAUAUGUAAUGUGAAGCGUACUAAUUAUAUAGUCGCUAAUCAUUUAUAUUUAUUACAUUACAACUAUACGAAAGUAUUUAGUUGGUGUAUAAAUUAUGAAAAUGACCUCAAGUCAUGUGAGAGUACCCGCUGAACUUAAGCAUAUCAAUAAG